rnacentral:rRNA from 1 species
UACAGAGGGUGCAAGCGUUGUCCGGAAUCACUGGGCGUAAAGGGCGCGUAGGUGGCCUGAUAAGUAGGAGGUGAAAUCCUGAGGCUUAACCUCAGGGCUGCCUUCUAGACUGUCCGGCUCGAGCACAGUAGAGGCAGGUGGAAUUCCCGGUGUAGCGGUGGAAUGCGUAGAGAUCGGGAAGAACAUCGGUGGCGAAGGCGGCCUGCUGGGCUGUUGCUGACACUGAGGCGCGACAGCGUGGGGAGCAAACAGG